GACGAACGCUGGCGGCGUGCUUAACACAUGCAAGUCGAGCGGUAAGGCCCUUUCGGGGGUACACGAGCGGCGAACGGGUGAGUAACACGUGGGUGACCUGCCCUCAGCUCUGGGAUAAGCCUGGGAAACCGGGUCUAAUACCGGAUAUGACUCCAUGACGCAUGUUGUGGGGUGGAAAGCCUUGUGCGGCUGAGGAUGGGCCCGCGGCCUAUCAGCUUGUUGGUGGGGUGAUGGCCUACCAAGGCGACGACGGGUAGCCGGCCUGAGAGGGCGACCGGCCACACUGGGACUGAGACACGGCCCAGACUCCUACGGGAGGCAGCAGUGGGGAAUCUUGCGCAAUGGGCGAAAGCCCGACGCAGCGACGCCGCGUGAGGGAUGACGGCCU
rnacentral:rRNA from 1 species